UGUGAAGCUAGUGAUCGUUGUGGAGGAGGAAAUGCAGAGAGGCAUCUCCAAGGCCCCAUCAAAUACAGAAUUGCUUGCAUUGACCCCAGUAUUUUCAGGCUUUGCUUGGAUGGAGUUAACAGAACGAGAGAGUUUGGAGGAGUAAAACUCCCCCUCCGUAAGUCCCUCCAUCCGAGCAUGUGGUUUAAAGUUCAAUCCCAAAUUCUAUAAUUUGCUAGCAGUCUCAGAAUGGUCCUUGUAGUUAGAGUUGUCUUGAGGUUGCCUUCCGUAGUCUUUGAAGUUCUUUCAAUUUGGCUCAAACAGCUAACUGUUUAUAGGAGGAAUCAGCUCCCUAACGCGUUCAAGUGAUUUCAUGGGGAGAACAUAUUGGAGAAUUCUCUCUUACCUGAAAUUUUUUUAUUUUAUUUUCC